UAUCAAAGACGUGCGUCAGGUUCCCCGAGAGGGGAAUAAUAGGGAACGCGGAAGCAGGGAAUCGCCCUGUAUGCCGCGGCUGUCCCCGCAACUGUGACCGGUGAGCGGUCGCCCUGAAAUGCCACUGGAUAUGCACAUAUCCGGGAAGGCGGGGCGAUUGCGAUGACCCGGGAGCCAGGAGACCUGCCUGUCGCAGUCGGUCCUU
rnacentral:ncRNA from 2 species